rnacentral:lncRNA from 1 species
UGUUUUUGCUUAUUGAUGAUUUUCUCUCAAAGUCCCGAGAGGAUGGGAUGCUCUCGAAUGACAAGUGUCAAGUUGUGUCUCAGAGCAGCCAACCAACUAGUGGUUAGGGGGGGCUAUUUAUAGCCGGGGACCAAUCCUAAUAUAUUUUGACAUAAAUGCCUCAAUAAUUUAAUCGUUAUGUGGAUAAAGCUUGGGGAUAGC